AACAUACUCCCUCCACCCAGAAAUACUUGUCGGAGAAAUGGAUGUAUCUAGAUGCAUUUUAGUUCUAGAUACAUCCAUUUUUAUUCAUUACCGUGACAAGUAUUUUCGGAUGGAGGGAGUAGAUA
rnacentral:pre_miRNA from 1 species